CAGCAGUAGGGAUCUUCCGCAAUGGACGAAAGUCUGACGGAGCAACGCCGCGUGAGUGAUGAAGGUUUUCGGAUCGUAAAACUCUGUUAUUAGGGAAGAACAAAUGUGUAAGUAACUGUGCACAUCUUGACGGUACCUAAUCAGAAAGCCACGGCUAACUACGUGCCAGCAGCCGCGGUAAUACGUAGGUGGCAAGCGUUAUCCGGAAUUAUUGGGCGUAAAGCGCGCGUAGGCGGUUUCUUAAGUCUGAUGUGAAAGCCCACGGCUCAACCGUGGAGGGUCAUUGGAAACUGGGAAACUUGAGUACAGAAGAGGAAAGUGGAAUUCCAUGUGUAGCGGUGAAAUGCGCAGAGAUAUGGAGGAACACCAGUGGCGAAGGCGACUUUCUGGUCUGUAACUGACGCUGAUGUGCGAAAGCGUGGGGAUCAAACAGGAUUAGAUACCCUGGUAGUCCACGCCGUAAACGAUGAGUGCUAAGUGUUAGGGGGUUUCCGCCCCUUAGUGCUGCAGCUAACGCAUUAAGCACUCCGCCUGGGGAGUACGACCGCAAGGUUGAAACUCAAAGGAAUUGACGGGGCCAGCA
rnacentral:rRNA from 1 species